UACGUAGGGGGCUAGCGUUGUCCGGAAUCAUUGGGCGUAAAGAGCGUGUAGGCGGUCCGGUAAGUCCGCUGUGAAAGUCGGGGGCUCAACCCUCGAAUGCCGGUGGAUACUGUCGGGCUAGAGUGCGGAAGAGGCGAGUGGAAUUCCUGGUGUAGCGGUGAAAUGCGCAGAUAUCAGGAAGAACACCGAUGGCGAAGGCAGCUCUCUGGGACGGUACUGACGCUGAGACGCGAAAGCGUGGGGAGCGAACAGG
rnacentral:rRNA from 1 species